rnacentral:rRNA from 1 species
ACGAACGCUGGCGGCAUGCCUAACACAUGCAAGUCGAACGGAGAUAUGAGAGCUUGCUUUUGUAUCUUAGUGGCGGACGGGCGAGUAACGCGUGAGCAACCUGCCCUUCAGAGUGGGAUAACGACUGGAAACGGCCGCUAAUACCGCAUGACACAGCUUUUUCGCAUGGGAGAGCUGUCAAAGGAGCAAUCCGCUGAAGGAUGGGCUCGCGUCCGAUUAGCUAGAUGGUGGGGUAACGGCCUACCAUGGCGACGAUCGGUAGCCGAACUGAGAGGUUGAUCGGCCGCAUUGGGACUGAGACACGGCCCAGACUCCUACGGGAGGCAGCAGUGGGGGAUAUUGCACAAUGGGGGAAACCCUGAUGCAGCAAUGCCGCGUGAGGGAAGAAGGUCUUCGGAUUGUAAACCUAAGUAGACAGGGACGAUAAUGACGGUACCUGAAGAGUAAGCUCCGGCUAACUACGUGCCAGCAGCCGCGGUAAUACGUAGGGAGCGAGCGUUGUCCGGAAUUACUGGGUGUAAAGGGUGCGUAGGCGGGAUGGCAAGUCAGAUGUGAAAUACCGGGGCUUAACUCCGGGGCUGCAUUUGAAACUGUCGUUCUUGAGUGAAGUAGAGGCAGGCGGAAUUCCUAGUGUAGCGGUGAAAUGCGUAGAUAUUAGGAGGAACACCAGUGGCGAAGGCGGCCUGCUGGGCUUUAACUGACGCUGAGGCACGAAAGCGUGGGGAGCAAACAGGAUUAGAUACCCUGGUAGUCCAUGCCGUAAACGAUGAUUGCUAGGUGUGGGGGGACUGACCCCCUCCGUGCCGGAGUAAACACAAUAAGCAAUCCACCUGGGGAGUACGACCGCAAGGUUGAAACUCAAAGGAAUUGACGGGGGCCCGCACAAGCAGUGGAGUAUGUGGUUUAAUUCGAAGCAACGCGAAGAACCUUACCAGGUCUUGACAUCCAACUAACGAGGCAGAGAUGCGUUAGGUGCCCUUCGGGGAAAGUUGAGACAGGUGGUGCAUGGUUGUCGUCAGCUCGUGUCGUGAGAUGUUGGGUUAAGUCCCGCAACGAGCGCAACCCUUAUUGUUAGUUGCCAUCAUUAAGUUGGGCACUCUAGCGAGACUGCCGGUAAUAAACCGGAGGAAGGUGGGGAUGACGUCAAAUCAUCAUGCCCCUUAUGACCUGGGCUACACACGUGCUACAAUGGCGUAAACAAAGGGAAGCGGAGCCGUGAGGCCGAGCAAAUCUCAAAAAUAACGUCUCAGCUCGGAUUGUAGUCUGCAACUCGACUACAUGAAGCUGGAAUCGCUAGUAAUCGCGAAUCAGAAUGUCGCGGUGAAUACGUUCCCGGGCCUUGUACACACCGCCCGUCACACCAUGAGAGUUGGGAAUACCCGAAGCCUGUGAGCCAACUGUAAAGAGGCAGCAGUCGAAGGUAGAAUCAAUGAUUGGGGUG